rnacentral:lncRNA from 1 species
AAUGUGUACACACACUUACUUCUAUCAAACCCGAUCACACGCACAGAUUAGACCGUCGGAGCGAAAACCACCGUUUCACUGUCUUCUCCUACACAAUAUGUUUAUAGAGAAUCAAAUUCCCUACAAUACCAUUACGCUACUACAAAAAAAGUGAAUCCAAACAACUUACCGAAACUGUUACGCAAAGACAAAAGUAACCAUUCUUACCCAAAUCACACGAAGAACACCAAAAUCUAAAGCGCAACGCAAAGAACAAAAGAAGUGUGGAUAGUCUUGAAGGAAAAAAAAAAAGAAAGAGAGAAGAAAGAAGUAGAGGAGAGACAAAAAGAUGAAAACGACAGAAAAAAAUGGAGGAGAGGCAGAAAUUGACGUUAGAUUUUUGGGAAGAGAGAAAAAUUAAAAAAAUAAAAAUAAAAAUAACCAAUUUGAUUUGUUUCCCAGUCCCCACUAACAACCACAUCCCAUAAUAUCCUCCCCACUAACCACAUCCAACUGCUUCAGACUCCCAACUCCACCGAACCUCUAACAGACAACCAGAACAAAAAUUAACACUCACGCUCGUGCAGGGAUUCGAACACAAGACCUCCAACAAGCUAACUCCUUC